rnacentral:rRNA from 1 species
AUACGUAGGGUGCAAGCGUUAAUCGGAAUUACUGGGCGUAAAGCGUGCGCAGGCGGUUUUGUAAGACAGGUCGUGAAAUCCCCGGGCUCAACCUGGGAAUUGCGAUUGUGACUGCAAAGCUGGAGUGCGGCAGAGGGGGAUGGAAUUCCGCGUGUAGCAGUGAAAUGCGUAGAUAUGCGGAGGAACACCGAUGGCGAAGGCAAUCCCCUGGGCCUGCACUGACGCUCAUGCACGAAAGCGUGGGGAGC